UGAUGACCAUGCCGUAUUCUUGAAGAC
rnacentral:sRNA from 1 species